AGUGACGAUAGCCUAGGAGAUACACCUGUACCCAUGCCGAACACAGCAGUUAAGCCCUAGAACGCCGGAAGUAGUUGGGGGUUGCCCCCUGUGAGAUAUGGAAGUCGCUUAGCG
rnacentral:rRNA from 3 species